ACCCCCACCCCCACCCCCGUACUGGGGAUUGAAUCCUGGGGUGCUCUGAGUUACAUCUCCACUUUUUUACACUCAUAUUAGUUGGAACUUAGGGAGCAUUACAGUAGAGUGACAUAACAAACACCUCAUCCCAAUUAUGGUUUCUUAUGUUUCCAAAUAUCAAAUUGCUUUCCCUGAUCUGUCUCAGACAUGCAUUGUGAACUUUUUCUAGUACUGAAAAUUGAACGCAAGGUCUUGCACAUGCUAUGCAAGUGCUUUACCACUGAGCUACAUCCCCAGCCCACAAACUUUUUUCCCUUUAAAAAAAAAAAUGGCAAAAUUCAUAUGCCCUGCCUGUAAAGUGGUUUACUGCGGUUAACCAAAAAGUUCUUGCCAACUAAUACUCUUGUCAGGAAAACAGAUACUUUCAAAGCACGAUUGUCCUUCCCUUAUGACCUGAGCAAGGCCUUACAAUAGGGUGGAAACACCAAGAUAUGGGGAGGCUCAGUGAGUCCCAGACUUGCCCCAGCAGCAGGAUCAUGGCUUUAGACAAGUGGUGUGCUCAGGUGGGGUAUUCCAGUCAGAGUGCUCAUUUGUUCUUGAGCCCCAUGCUGGAAUGAAAAGACAUGAAUUC
rnacentral:lncRNA from 1 species